AUGGGCUCACGGUCACAGCGAUGCGGUUCUUGCUAUGUCAAAGCAAUCAUCAGCAGGCUCAAGCCCAGAUGCCUUGGAGGGAAGCCGCAGCGUUGCGAGAGCGGCGCCAGAUGCGUUGGAGUCAAGGCAGAAGUAAGGCACGAUACUCUUCAGGAUAUUCUGUACUCUCAGCAGAGCUUCGAGGGGGAUGAGAUUGGGGCACCAUCACCUCGGAGGCAUUCCCCGAAGGUUCGUCCGCUUAACCUGGAUUGCCCUUACGGGGACAACUCCCCCAAUAUCCAGGAUAGCUUCUCCAUCGACAGGGUUACUCUGAGGAGCCAACGCAGCGUAGCCAGGAGAGUCAGCUUCAGAUCUCCUGAUCACUCAGACAUAUUCAUCAUUCCCGCACGCAACGAUCCUGCUGGUUAUUACUCCAGUGAUGAGGAAUCCACAGAGAGUAUAAGUGAAGAAGGCAUUGGUGCAAAGAGGCCUCCUUGUGCCAUAACCAGAUACUAA
rnacentral:rRNA from 1 species